CGUGGGAGGUGUGUGGGAAGAGCAGCCUGUCGGGAGCCACUGUAGGUGAAAGGCAAGAAGAAGAGAUGGACUAUUAUGGGCCUUCAUGGGGGUCAUGCUGGGCUUUACAGAAGCCGAAGGGCCAAAGAUGGCCAAGCCUGAUUACAAUUCUGCUUUCGUGUCCAUGGCUUGAAGAAGGAAAGCAGCAUCUACUUCUCGGAAAUUGCGGAAAUAGCAUCAGCGGCGUGGGGAACGAAUGUAAGCAUGGUGGUUGAAGCAUCACGAUCACCCUGACCUGUGAGGACAAGUGUGUGGUCAAAGUCUGG